GAGUCUUCCUGGGGUUACAUCUUGACCCCAUACACACAUAGAUACACACACUCAGGGUAUUCUUUGUUCACAUGCAUACCUAUAUAAGAUGUCAUAUGUUAAUGAACCAAUCCGAGAACCACAAUCUCCCGAAUAGAAAAGUGAGCAGUAAAGUCUAGACUGCAGACCGCUCUAACCUCUGGUGUUCACUCGGUGGGGAGAAGGGCUAUCAGUGGCAACACUGAGACACUCGCUCCUCUUGCUGGGUGUCUACUCAUUGGAGGCCAAGGGUGUGUCCACGGUCGAGAAGAGGAGAAACGCUCACAGAGGGAGACCUGAUGGAGAUGGAAAUACUAAAUGCAAACCAGGAUGCCCCUGAGGUAUUCUUAUCACUGGCCCUGGUAGGCAUGAACACGGCCUGCACCAGCAACCCAUGUGACCCACACUGCCCGAGGAUUUACCGGCAGGCUCCAAAUGUGACGUGUCCUGAAAGGGGAACCAUUUUUAAGCUGCAGCCUAUGCCCAGAAGAACGCGCAGCGCAACGAGAAACAAAGAAGUGGAGAACAAUGCUGCACCUUCAUACCUAACAACACUGCAGCUGACGGCAGUCUGACCAGAGCCCUGGAAAGACUGAAGACCUUGAAUGAGAGAAUGAAAGAACAUUCUGGAGUGGACACUUCCAUGUGGGACAGCUGGAUGGACAUGUUUGGAAAGUACCGCAGCCUAGUGUCAUCAAUCCUAGUGUCAAUAGCUGUUUUUGCAGCCAUAUUGACCCUAUGUGGCUGUUGUUGUAUUCCCUGCAUAAGAUCCAUGAUCAACAGACUGAUAGCCACAGCUAUUACACCGGACCUUGUCGGCCAAAAAGAAAUUAUGACACUGCUGGAGCACGCCGACACUAACUCAAACACCGACGACGAAGAUGAAGAAACAACCUGUAACUAAAAGGAAAAAGACACUCCUGUUAAUAAUGAAGCAACAGUUAAAAAUGCACUGUCAAGAGACUGUAUGCUGAUAAAAGUUAAAAUGUGUAAAACAAAUUAACAACAGGAGGGAUAUGUUAAGAGAUUUUCAAAUGUUUCAAGUAUUAUUCCCACUGCCAUUUGUACGUUAUUGAAAGUUUAUCUUUAAUUUUAGUGUUAAUAGUUGUUUACCCAUUUAUUCUUUCCAUUUAAUCGUAUUUUAUGGUUUUACUGUUUCGCUGAAGUGAAGCUUAAAUGAAAGACAAAAGCAUAGUGUUCUCAGAUAUGAUUCACCCAGUAUAUUUCCUCUGCACCUGGUUCUCUACGAGCCGUUUCACUCCCAGGAAGGGGAGAGCAGGACGUUCUUAUCUAUACACUCCCAAAUACAAAGAGGGGCCCAUUCUUCAGAAUCACACACACACACUCUGAGAUCAUAAACUUCACACACACACACAUACUCUGAAACGCUAUAAAUAAAGAACUGCCACAAAUGCUGGUUGUGAGCCUGAGACAGCAGCGCUCACCCAGCGUGCGCACGUUGUUACCAUCUAAA